AUAGAAAAUCAAAAUUCGAUCCACAAUAUUUAAUGAUAAAGUACAUUAUUAUUACUUAUGUGGAAGUCAAUGUUUAAAAGUAAGAUUUAUUUAUUUGUUUUUUUUCUUUUUUGAAUAUGAUAUUUGUUUCAGGAUUGAUAAAAUUGACGGACAUUAAGACAUACUCGUGCAUUAUUUCAAAAAAUUCAUUCUGCAGAGAUUAAUACUAUAAUUAUUUUGAACAUGUUAAUUUCAAGUACAAUUAUUCGUUGUGUUAUUAUUGAGUUAUAACUUGUAAUUAUAAUUGUAGACAUAAGAUAAAAUGGUAUAAUUUACCAUAUUGUAAUUUUUUUGUUUGCGUAAUAUAAUAUGGCGAUUAAUUUUAUUGUAGACUUAUACCUACUAAUCUUUUAUGUUACCCUCUAUCCCCGGGACCGUGAAUUCAAUAAUUUCUUUAGUAUAAUGGAUAAACUUCUCCAAAAUCUUUCCCUCGAAAAACAUACAAAAUUUGGUGAUUAUAUUUGAAGUUCAAAUUCGUCCAAUUUCUAAUGAAUAGAACAAUGUGAUUUUCUGUCACUGCUACUUAUACUCUCCACAGAAAAUAUAUUGUUAGACUGCGACGAUAUUCCAAAAUGGAUGAUCUUUCCGAUUUCAAGUCUAUUUAAAGAAAAAUAAUGAAUAAUUGCAUUAAAAUAACUGUAUUUUUGUGACGAGGCUCUAAUAUUCACGGGUAUGUUUUCAAUAUAGUAUUCUGUCAAAAUGUUUAACCUACACACUGUUGUCUUAAUUGCAACGAAAUACAAUAAACGUGUAUACAUAUUG